AAAGGGUUGUGGCAGGUUGAUUCUUUGUGCACGGCAAAUCAGUGGCUGUCUUCUUCUAUGGAGCAUGUGGCAAAGCAGGAGAAGCAAUUUGCUUGUCAGGGCAUACAAAACAUGUUCAUUCAGGUGGUCAAGUACUGGAUCAAUCGCAACAACGUUGACUCGAAACCUGUUUUUGUCAAGCUAACUAUUGUGCCUCAUUGCGAGGUUCCGAACGAUUGCAUGUUAGGAUUUAUUGGGUGAUUCAGAUUCACCCUUUUGACAUUGUAUUUAUGAGAUAAGAAUGUUUAUUGAGUUUUUGUUAACUGCUUUUUGGCAAUGGGAUCUAAUUUCCUAGCUUGUGUUUUGUUUGUACAUGUGUGUUAUGGACUUAAUUUGUUUGUGAAAUCACAUAUAUAUGAAAUUUGUUUUAUUCA